UACAGAGGGUGCAAGCGUUAAUCGGAUUUACUGGGCGUAAAGGGUGCGUAGGUGGUUUUUUAAGUCGGAUGUGAAAGCCUGGGGCUCAACCUCAGAAUUGCAUUCGAUACUGGGAAACUAGAGUUCGGUAGAGGGCGGCGGAAUUUCCGGUGUAGCGGUGAAAUGCGUAGAUAUCGGAAGGAACAUCAAUGGCGAAGGCAGCCGCCUGGGCCUGGACUGACACUGAGGCACGAAAGCGUGGGUAGCAAACAGG
rnacentral:rRNA from 1 species